rnacentral:rRNA from 1 species
GGUUAAGCGACUAAGCGUACACGGUGGAUGCCCUGGCAGUCAGAGGCGAUGAAGGACGUGCUAAUCUGCGAAAAGCGUCGGUAAGGUGAUAUGAACCGUUAUAACCGGCGAUGUCCGAAUGGGGAAACCCAGUGCAAUUCGUUGCACUAUCGUUAACUGAAUACAUAGGUUAACGAGGCGAACCGGGGGAACUGAAACAUCUAAGUACCCCGAGGAAAAGAAAUCAACCGAGAUUCCCCCAGUAGCGGCGAGCGAACGGGGAGCAGCCCAGAGUCUGAAUCAGCUUGUGUGUUAGUGGAACGGUCUGGAAAGUCCGACGGUACAGGGUGAUAGUCCCGUACACCAAAAUGCACAGGCUGUGAACUCGAAGAGUAGGGCGGGACACGUGGUAUCCUGUCUGAAUAUGGGGGGACCAUCCUCCAAGGCUAAAUACUCCUGACUGACCGAUAGUGAACCAGUACCGUGAGGGAAAGGCGAAAAGAACCCCGGCGAGGGGAGUGAAAAAGAACCUGAAACCGUGUACGUACAAGCAGUGGGAGCACCUUCGGGUGUGACUGCGUACCUUUUGUAUAAUGGGUCAGCGACUUAUAUUCUGUAGCAAGGUUAACCGUAUAGGGGAGCCGCAGGGAAACCGAGUCUUAACUGGGCGUUAAGUUGCAGGGUAUAGACCCGAAACCCGGUGAUCUAGCCAUGGGCAGGUUGAAGGUUGGGUAACACUAACUGGAGGACCGAACCGACUAAUGUUGAAAAAUUAGCGGAUGACUUGUGGCUGGGGGUGAAAGGCCAAUCAAACCGGGAGAUAGCUGGUUCUCCCCGAAAGCUAUUUAGGUAGCGCCUCGUGAAUUCAUCUUCGGGGGUAGAGCACUGUUUCGGCUAGGGGGUCAUCCCGACUUACCAACCCGAUGCAAACUACGAAUACCGAAGAAUGUUAUCACGGGAGACACACGGCGGGUGCUAACGUCCGUCGUGAAGAGGGAAACAACCCAGACCGCCAGCUAAGGUCCCAAAGUCAUGGUUAAGUGGGAAACGAUGUGGGAAGGCACAGACAGCCAGGAUGUUGGCUUAGAAGCAGCCAUCAUUUAAAGAAAGCGUAAUAGCUCACUGGUCGAGUCGGCCUGCGCGGAAGAUGUAACGGGGCUAAACCAUGCACCGAAGCUGCGGCAGCGACACUAUGUGUUGUUGGGUAGGGGAGCGUUCUGUAAGCCUGCGAAGGUGACCUGUGAGGGUUGCUGGAGGUAUCAGAAGUGCGAAUGCUGACAUAAGUAACGAUAAAGCGGGUGAAAAGCCCGCUCGCCGGAAGACCAAGGGUUCCUGUCCAACGUUAAUCGGGGCAGGGUGAGUCGACCCCUAAGGCGAGGCCGAAAGGCGUAGUCGAUGGGAAACAGGUUAAUAUUCCUGUACUUGGUGUUACUGCGAAGGGGGGACGGAGAAGGCUAUGUUAGCCGGGCGACGGUUGUCCCGGUUUAAGCAUGUAGGCUGAUUGUCCAGGCAAAUCCGGAUAAUCAAGGCUGAGGUGUGAUGACGAGGCACUACGGUGCUGAAGUAACAAAUGCCCUGCUUCCAGGAAAAGCCUCUAAGCAUCAGGUAACAUUAAAUCGUACCCCAAACCGACACAGGUGGUCAGGUAGAGAAUACCAAGGCGCUUGAGAGAACUCGGGUGAAGGAACUAGGCAAAAUGGUGCCGUAACUUCGGGAGAAGGCACGCUGGUGUGUAGGUGAAGUCCCUGCGGAUGGAGCUGAGACCAGUCGAAGAUACCAGCUGGCUGCAACUGUUUAUUAAAAACACAGCACUGUGCAAACACGAAAGUGGACGUAUACGGUGUGACGCCUGCCCGGUGCCGGAAGGUUAAUUGAUGGGGUUAUCCGUAAGGAGAAGCUCUUGAUCGAAGCCCCGGUAAACGGCGGCCGUAACUAUAACGGUCCUAAGGUAGCGAAAUUCCUUGUCGGGUAAGUUCCGACCUGCACGAAUGGCGUAAUGAUGGCCAGGCUGUCUCCACCCGAGACUCAGUGAAAUUGAACUCGCUGUGAAGAUGCAGUGUACCCGCGGCAAGACGGAAAGACCCCGUGAACCUUUACUAUAGCUUGACACUGAACAUUGAGCCUUGAUGUGUAGGAUAGGUGGGAGGCUUUGAAGCGUGGACGCCAGUCUGCGUGGAGCCAACCUUGAAAUACCACCCUUUAAUGUUUGAUGUUCUAACGUUGGCCCCUUACCGGGGUUGCGGACAGUGUCUGGUGGGUAGUUUGACUGGGGCGGUCUCCUCCCAAAGCGUAACGGAGGAGCACGAAGGUUAGCUAAUCCUGGUCGGACAUCAGGAGGUUAGUGCAAUGGCAUAAGCUAGCUUGACUGCGAGCGUGACGGCGCGAGCAGGUGCGAAAGCAGGUCAUAGUGAUCCGGUGGUUCUGAAUGGAAGGGCCAUCGCUCAACGGAUAAAAGGUACUCCGGGGAUAACAGGCUGAUACCGCCCAAGAGUUCAUAUCGACGGCGGUGUUUGGCACCUCGAUGUCGGCUCAUCACAUCCUGGGGCUGAAGUAGGUCCCAAGGGUAUGGCUGUUCGCCAUUUAAAGUGGUACGCGAGCUGGGUUUAGAACGUCGUGAGACAGUUCGGUCCCUAUCUGCCGUGGGCGCUGGAGAAUUGAGGGGGGCUGCUCCUAGUACGAGAGGACCGGAGUGGACGCAUCACUGGUGUUCGGGUUGUCAUGCCAAUGGCACUGCCCGGUAGCUAAAUGCGGAAGAGAUAAGUGCUGAAAGCAUCUAAGCACGAAACUUGCCCCGAGAUGAGUUCUCCCUGAGACUUUAAGUCUCCUGAAGGAACGUUAAAGACGAUGACGUUGAUAGGCCGGGUGUGUAAGCGCAGCGAUGCGUUGAGCUAACCGGUACUAAUGAACCGUGAGGCUUAACCUU